GGCCUGGUGGCUCAGUUGGUUAGAGCGCCGCCCUGUCACGGCGGAGGUCGUCGGUUCAAGUCCGAUCCGGGUCGC
rnacentral:tRNA from 1 species